rnacentral:rRNA from 1 species
GACGAACCGUGCGAACGUUGCUCGGAAUCACUGGGCGUAAAGCGCACGUAGGCGGAUUGUUAAGUCAGGGGUGAAAUCCUGGAGCUCAACUCCAGAACUGCCUUUGAUACUGGCGAUCUCGAGUCCGGGAGAGGUGAGUGGAACUGCGAGUGUAGAGGUGAAAUUCGUAGAUAUUCGCAAGAACACCAGUGGCGAAGGCGGCUCACUGGCCCGGUACUGACGCUGAGGUGCGAAAGCGUGGGGAGCAAACAGGG